UGAGGAACAUGACCUUCGGCGGGGGAUAGCCGGCCCAACGGCCGGGUAUACCGCGUACGACCACAUGGGGACAUCCCUGAGUGGUGAAAGCAGCAAUGCGCCGAUGGAGUGCCUCGCGGCCUAUCAGCUAGUUGGUGAGGUAACGGCUCACCAAGGCAACGACGGGAAGCUGGUCUGAGAGGAUGGCCAGCCACACUGGGACUGAGACACCGGCCCAGACCUNUACCGGGGAGG
rnacentral:rRNA from 1 species